rnacentral:rRNA from 1 species
CAAUAGCGUAUAUUAAAGUUGUUGCGGUUAAAAAGCUCGUAGUUGGAUUUCUGCCGAGGACGACCGGUCCGCCCUCUGGGUGAGUAUCUGGCUCGGCCUGGGCAUCUUCUUGGAGAACGUAGCUGCACUUGACUGUGUGGUGCGGUAUCCAGGACUUUUACUUUGAGGAAAUUAGAGUGUUUCAAGCAGGCUUACGCCUUGAAUACAUUAGCAUGGAAUAAUAAGAUAGGACCUCGGUUCUAUUUUGUUGGUUUCUAGAGCUGAGGUAAUGAUGAAUAGGGAUAGUUGGGGGGCAUUCGUAUUUAACUGUCAGAGGUGAAUUUCUUGGAUUUGUUAAAGACGGACUACUGCGAAAGCAUUCGCCAAGGAUGUUUUCAUUGA